rnacentral:rRNA from 1 species
GUGGGGAAUCUUCCGCAAUGGACGAAAGUCUGACGGAGCAACGCCGCGUGAGUGAAGAAGGUUUUCGGAUCGUAAAGCUCUUUCGUUAGGGACGAACGUGCUCUUUGUGAAUAAUGAGGAGUAAUGACGGUACCUAAAUAAGAAGCCACGGCUAACUACGUGCCAGCAGCCGCGGUAAUACGUAGGUGGCAAGCGUUGACCGGAAUUAUUGGGCGUAAAGCGCGCGCAGGCGGGAUAUCAAGUCUGUCUUAAAAGUGCGAGGCUCAACCUCGUGAGGGGACAGAAACUGGUAUUCUUGAGUGUCGGAGAGGAAAGUGGAAUUCCAAGUGUAGCGGUGAAAUGCGUAGAGAUUUGGAAGAACACCAGUGGCGAAGGCGACUUUCUGGACGAUGUCUGACGCUGAGGCGCGAAAGCUAGGGGAGCGAACGGGAUUAGAUACCCCAGUAGUCC